GGUUGAACGGCCACAGAGUUCGUCGAGAGAAGCUUUUGUGGAAAUAUGUUGAGGGCCCGCAACAACAAGGAGGCACGGAGUGCGGUUAUUUUGUGAUGCGGUACAUUUUUGACGUACUCGCUUCAUAUUUUGGUUCGUUGGAUAUGGACAAAGUUGCUCAAACCUUUACCAAAGAUCCUUAUACGGAGGAUCAAAUCAAUGAGGUGAAAAAUAAGUGGGCAAGAUACUUUGUUGAUGAGUGCAUUGCGUAGGUUAGUUAGUUUAUGUUAAUAUUUUUUUUUUUGUUCUAACUUUAGACGAACAUAUACAUUAUUGCAACUUGUACAAUCAACUUUGUAGUGAUGGAUUAUCAUGAUAUAUAUAUAUGUUGGAUUGCGCUAAAUAUUUUUGUUGGAUUAUUAUGGAAUUGUAUUUAUGAUGUUGGUUAGGUUGAAUAUGAUGUUGGUUUGUUGGCUUGAAUAUUGGAUGAUGUAUGUUGGAGAUCAUGGUGGUUGUUUGAUGGAUUUUGGAUUUGCUUGGAUGGUGGAUUCGGAGAUGUUAUUGGUUGUUGUACAGGUUAAUUAAGUCCCUAUUAUGGGUUUAUCCAAUUUACA